rnacentral:lncRNA from 1 species
AACCCUAAUUUCCCCAUCUUCUCCAACCUAUCACCGCCGGUCGCCUUCUCCCUCUCCCCAAACCCAUCGGCCCUCCCCCUCCCGCCCCCCUUCCCCAGAUCUGUCCUCUCUCUAUCUCCCAAAAUCGGCCGCUGUUGUUUCCCUCCAGCGAAGCUACUCCGAUUUUGGGUGCGGCCGCCACUGUUUAGGUGUUGGGCCCUCCAGAUAUGCACGUCCUACAUAUCUGGAGGGCGUGCACGACGGAGAAGCAAGCGGCGAUGAUGAUUCACGAAGAAUUGAGAGUUGACGCUGACUCUCGAAGGCAUGUAGCGGAGGCGGACCUACGUGCUUGCUGUUCGCCGGACCAAAUUAGAGAGGCUACGAUGCAGCGGCCUCGCCGACUCACAGACAGUAGGAGCGGCAGUUAAUGAUGAAAAUAGGGCUCGGUUGGGGCACCUGGCGAGAAACAGAGCGGCGGAAAGAGAGGAGCUCCGGCGCGAAGGCGUCGACCUGCGUCGGAGAGCAGCAGCGUCUGGGCGGAUCUGGGUUUCAAAUCUAUCGCCGGCUUCAUGAUAUGUGCGUUGGGGGAGGUGGCAGCUGCGGAGGAUGGGGGAAAUGAA